UUCCAACAGAUCGACAGUUUCAUCCAGGUCAACAACUUAAAGAGGAAUAUUGAACGACACUGGCAACGACAGCGACAUAUUGGGUCUGUGCAAGUUUGUCUAAAGUUAUUGGCCAGAGCUACGGAGACCUUUUGAGCAUCAAGUGCCCAGCAUAACAAGGUCCUAAAGGACUGGUUUUCAUUGUGUGAAAAACAGUGAGGAGCAAACAGACCUGCAAUGAGCCCCCUGAAUUCAACUUUUAUAAAUGAGGAUAUUGUGCAUCCUGAC